rfam:Anaeromyces robustus strain S4 BCR32scaffold_564, whole genome shotgun sequence.
GCUCCUGUAGCAAAGUCGGUUAAUGCGUCGUGCUUAUAGGAGAGUACCUUCUAUGCUACGCGAAGGUCGUGAGUUCGAACCUCACCAGGAGCA